rnacentral:tRNA from 1 species
AGUCCCGUAGUAUAGCGGUUAGUACAUCGGGCUUUGGACCCGGGAACGCAAGUUCGAAUCUUGCCGGGACUG